CCCUUAGAUGUUCUGGGCCGCACGCGCGCUACACUGAUGAAUGCAACGAGCUCUACCCUUGACCGAAAGGCCCGGGUAAACUUGUGAAACUUCAUCGUGAUGGGGAUAGAUUAUUGCAAUUAUUAAUCUUCAACGAGGAAUUCCUAGUAAGCGCGAGUCAUCAGCUCGCGUUGAUUACGUCCCUGCCCUUUGUACACACCGCCCGUCGCUCCUACCGAUUGAAUGGUCCGGUGAAAUCUUCGGAUUGCUGACCAAGAUCCAGCAAUGGAGCUUGGUUGCGAGAAGUUGAUUAAACCUGAUUAUUUAGAGGAAGGAGAAGUCGUAACA
rnacentral:rRNA from 1 species